GCUCUGGCUCAAGGGUAGAGCACUUGCCCGGCAUGUAUGAGGCCCUGGGUUCAAUUCUCAGCACCGCA
rnacentral:tRNA from 1 species